GACGAACGCUGGCGGCGUGCUUAACACAUGCAAGUCGAACGGAAAGGCCCUGCUUUUGUGGGGUGCUCGAGUGGCGAACGGGUGAGUAACACGUGAGUAACCUGCCCUUGACUUUGGGAUAACUUCAGGAAACUGGGGCUAAUACCGGAUAGGAGCUCCUGCUGCAUGGUGGGGGUUGGAAAGUUUCGGCGGUUGGGGGUGGACUCGCGGCUUAUCAGCUUGUUGGUGGGGUAGUGGCUUACCAAGGCUUUGACGGGUAGCCGGCCUGAGAGGGUGACCGGCCACGUUGGGACUGAGAUACGGCCCAGACUCCUACGGGAGGCAGCAGUGGGGAAUAUUGCACAAUGGGCGGAAGCCUGAUGCAGCAACGCCGCGUGCGGGAUGACGGCCUUCGGGUUGUAAACCGCUUUCGCCUGUGACGAAGCGUGAGUGACGGUAAUGGGUAAAGAAGCACCGGCUAACUACGUG
rnacentral:rRNA from 1 species